rnacentral:rRNA from 1 species
AACGUAGGACGCAAGCGUUAUCCGGAGUUACUGGGCGUAAAGCGUGCGCAGGCGGCUCCUUAAGUCAGAUGUGAAAUCCCCGGGCUUAACCUGGGAACUGCGUUUGAAACUGGGGAGCUGGAGUGUAGAAGAGGGGGGUGGAAUUCCAGGUGUAGCAGUGAAAUGCGUAGAGAUCUGGAGGAACACCGAUGGCGAAGGCAGCCCCCUGGGCUAACACUGACGCUCAUGCACGAAAGCGUGGGGAGCAAACAGG